UCCCUCUCCUUUCCUUCAAAUUUACAACCCAAAAUAAUAAUAACAACAAAAUCAAUACACUCCCAACUCGGUUCAAACCAUAUAGUUGCCUCAAAUCCAACCAUUCUAGCUAGCAUAACAAAAUCCCACAAACUUUCUUGCCUUGAAGAGCUCAAACAAGCUUUCCCAUCCAAACUAUCAAACCAAAACAAUGACACAGAGCUAGACGACGGACGAAUCAUUUCAGGAAUUGGUUGAUAAGCGAUGCGUGGACAAUGUGAGAAUGCUUAUUGUUGAUUCGGUGCAACAUGCCAAGGCUGACCACCCUGGUAUGGCGCUUGGAAUGGCUGAAGUGGGUUAUGUGCUAUAUAGGCAUGUCAUGAGGUACAAUCCCAGAAACCCCAAAUGGUUUAACAGGGACAGGUUUGUUUUGAGUGCUAGCCAUGGUUGCUUGCUUCAGUAUGUUUGCCUUCACAUCGCUGGUUUUCAAUCAGUUCAGUUGCAAGACCUAGAACGCUUGUGAAAGCUUGGGAGUCGGACCCCAGGUCACCCUGAGAAUGUGGUGACAGAUGGCAUUGAAGUGACAACAGGCCCCCUUGGACAAGGUGUAGCUAAUGCAGUCGGUCUAGCCUUAGCAAAAGCUCACUUAGAGCAUUUGCAGUAGUCAGCAAGAUUCAACAAACCUGAUGCUAUUCUUGUUGACCAUCGGACAUAUUGCAUCAUGGGUGAUGGUUGUGCAACGGAAGGCAUAUCUCCUGAAGCUGCAUCCUUGGCUGCUCAUUGGAAGCUUAAUAAGCUUACACUAAUAUAUGAUGAUAAUCAUAAUACCAUUGAUGGACCGACAACCUUAGCAUUGUCUGAAGAUAUAUCUACUCGAUUCAAGGCUCUUGGUUGGAAUACAAUCACUGUGGAGAACAUACACAGUAAUAUGAAUUCAUUUAAGGAUGCCCUCUGUUCUGCUUUCAGUGAAAAUGAGAAACCGACUUUCAUCAGGGUGAAGACACUAAUAGGAAAAUUGUCUGGGAAGGAAGGAACAUCGAAAGCUCAUCAUGGUACCUUCGACGAAGAUGAUAUGAAAAAAAUGAGACAAAAAGUUAAUUGGAGUGAUCGUGGGCCAUUCCAUGUCCUUCCUAUGGUGUAUAGGGAGUUGCAAAUUCAAACAGACCAUGGAGAAAGACUGGAGGAGGAGUGGUACUCUAAGCUUAACUACUACCAAAGUAAAUAUCCAGAAGAGUCUGUAGAAUUUAAAAUUCUCCUCAAUGGAGGUCUAGUUCCUGGCUGGGAAAGCUCAUUGCCGAAAUGGUCUGCAUCAGAACCAGUAGAUGCUACUCGUGGCUACUCAGAGAAGUGCUUAAACCAGCUUGCCAAGGUGCUUCCAGGACUAAUCGGUGGAAGUGCAGACCUUGCAACAUCUAACAAUGCUUAUCUCCACGAUUUCAAAGACUUCAGCCAGCCCAAUUCCCCAUGCGGCCGCAACAUCAGGUAUGGAGUUCGUGAGCACUCAAUGGCCGGAAUUUCUAAUGGUCUUGCAUUGCAUGGAAGCGGUCUCAUACCAUUUGCAGCCACUUUCCUUAUAUUUUCUGACUACAUGAAGAAUUCAAUCCGACUCUCUGCUUUAAGCAAAGCCGGAGUCAUCUAUAUCAUGACACAUGACUCAAUUGGUCUUGGGGAAGAUGGCCCAACUCACCAGCCAGUGGAACAACUUGCUGGCCUUCGAGCUGUGCCACGGCUUCUAGUUUUCAGGCCUGCUGAUGGCAACGAGACUGCUGGAGCUUACAAAAUGGCUGUUGCAAACCGGGAUGUUCCUAGUCUUAUUGCACUAUCAAGGCAAAAAGUGGCAGCACACUUGGAAGGAACAUCAGCAAGUGGAGUUGAAAGAGGUGGAUACAUAGUGAGUGAUAAUUCUGGGAAUGAUUUGCCAGAAAUAAUGUUGAUUGGUACUGGAUCCGAGCUAUGCCUUUGUGAAGGGAGUGCCAAGAUGUUAAGGAAAGAAGGGAGGAGAGUGAGGGUGGUUUCACUAGUGUGUUGGCGGCUCUUUGAUCAACAGGCAAAGGAGUACAAGGAGUAUGUCUUGCCACCAAGAGUUUCAAAGCGAGUUAGUGUUGAGGCUGGCUCACCAAUGGGCUGGAGGGAGUACGUGGGAGGACAAGGUUGGGUGAUUGGAGUGGAGGAUUUUGGAGCUAGUGAGGCUUAUUUGGAUACGUUUAAGAAGUUUGGUUUUACUGAAGAAAAUGUUACUAGGGUCACUAAGUCCUAGUUAUGUGAUUAGCA